GAUGAACGCUGGCGGCGUGCCUAAUACAUUCAAGUCGAGCGAACGGACGAGAAGCUUGCUUCUCUGAUGUUAGCGGCGGACGGGUGAGUAACACGUGGAUAACCUACCUAUAAGACUGGGAUAACUUCGGGAAACCGGAGCUAAUACCGGAUAAUAUUUUGAACCGCAUGGUUCAAAAGUAAAAGACGGUCUUGCUGUCACUUAUAGAUGGAUCCGCGCUGCAUUAGCUAGUUGGUAAGGUAACGGCUUACCAAGGCAACGAUGCAUAGCCGACCUGAGAGGGUGAUCGGCCACACUGGAACUGAGACACGGUCCAGACUACUACGGGAGGCAGCAGUAGGGAAUCUUCCGCAAUGGGCGAAAGCCUGACGGAGCAACGCCGCGUGAGUGAUGAAGGUCUUCGGAUCGUAAAACUCUGUUAUUAGGGAAGAACAUAUGUGUAAGUAACUGUGCACAUCUUGACGGUACCUAAUAGAAAGCCACGGCUAACUACGUG
rnacentral:rRNA from 1 species